UACGGGGGGGGCAAGCGUUGUUCGGAAUUACUGGGCGUAAAGGGCUCGUAGGCGGCCAACUAAGUCGGAUGUGAAAUCCCCAGGCUUAACUUGGGAACUGCAUCCGAUACUGGAUGGCUUGAAUCCGGGAGAGGGAUGCGGAAUUCCAGGUGUAGCGGUGAAAUGCGUAGAUAUCUGGAGGAACACCGGUGGCGAAGGCGGCAUCCUGGACCGGCAUUGAUGCUGAUGAGCGAAAGCCAGGGGAGCAAACGGG
rnacentral:rRNA from 1 species